rnacentral:rRNA from 1 species
GAUGAACGCUGGCGGCGUGCCUAACACAUGCAAGUCGAACGGGAGAUUACAGACGGAAGUUUUCGGAUGGAAGUUUGUAAUUCUUUAGUGGCGGACGGGUGAGUAACGCGUGGGCAACCUGCCCUAUACAGGGGGAUAGCAGCUGGAAACGGCUGGUAAGACCGCAUAAGUCGGUUAAAUCGCAUGAUUUGAUCGGGAAAUGAGCAAUCAGGUAUAGGAUGGGCCCGCGUCCGAUUAGCCAGUUGGCAGGGUAAAAGCCUACCAAAGCAACGAUCGGUAGCCGGACUGAGAGGUCGGACGGCCACAUUGGGACUGAGACACGGCCCAAACUCCUACGGGAGGCAGCAGUGGGGGAUAUUGCACAAUGGAGGAAACUCUGAUGCAGCGACGCCGCGUGAGUGAAGAAGUAUUUCGGUAUGUAAAGCUCUAUCAGCAGGGAAGAUGAUGACGGUACCUGACUAAGAAGCCCCGGCUAACUACGUGCCAGCAGCCGCGGUAAUACGUAGGGGGCAAGCGUUAUCCGGAUUUACCGGGUGUAAAGGGAGCGCAGGCGGUUUUGCAAGUUGAGAGUGGAAGCAGGGGGCUCAACCCCCUGACUGCUCCCCAAAACUGUAAAACUUGAGUAUGGGAGAGGCAGGCGGAAUUCCUAGUGUAGCGGUGAAAUGCUUAGAUAUUAGGAAGAACACCGGUGGCGAAGGCGGCCUGCCUGGACCAAAACUGACGCUGAGGCUCGAAAGCGUGGGUAGCAAACCAGGAUUAGAUACCCUGGUAGUCCACGCCUGUAACCGAUGAAAUACUAGGUGCUGGGAUGCCUACCUUUCGGUGCCGUCGCAAACGCCUAAGUAUUCCCCCUGGGGAGUACGUUCGCAAAUGAAACUCACGGGAAUUGACGGGGACCCGCACACGGUGGGAACUGUGGUUAAUUC